CCUACGGGUGGCAGCAGUGGGGAAUAUUGGACAAUGGGGGGAACCCUGAUCCAGCCAUGCCGCGUGUGUGAAGAAGGCCCUCGGGUUGUAAAGCACUUUCAGUGAGGAAGAACGCCUGGUGGUUAAUAUCCAUCAGGAAAGACAUCACUCACAGAAGAAGCACCGGCUAACUCCGUGCCAGCAGCCGCGGUAAUACGGAGGGUGCGAGCGUUAAUCGGAAUUACUGGGCGUAAAGCGCGCGUAGGUGGCUUGAUAAGCCGGUUGUGAAAGCCCCGGGCUCAACCUGGGAACGGCAUCCGGAACUGUCAAGCUAGAGUGCAGGAGAGGAAGGUAGAAUUCCCGGUGUAGCGGUGAAAUGCGUAGAGAUCGGGAGGAAUACCAGUGGCGAAGGCGGCCUUCUGGACUGACACUGACACUGAGGUGCGAAAGCGUGGGUAGCAAACAGGAUUAGAUACCCUAGUAGUC
rnacentral:rRNA from 1 species